CUGGCGGCACAGUUUAUGGCUCUGUGAAAAUCUACAGUAAGUAUAAUUUUAAUUUGAAAGAUUAUUUCUUGCUGAUAUCAAAAAGGGGCAUAUGCUUUUCGAAAACAGUUUCGCAAGCGAUGAUUGACAUCUCUAAAUGUUAAAACAGCUUCGGAAUUAUAGUUCACAUGGAGCCAGCCGUGGGCGAAGUUAUCAACCAGUGAAAACCCUAAGGAGAGAAGGGGUUUUCGAGAACUAUGGAUCUCUGUGAUCUCAGCAGAUGUAACCCCUGAACUCUCCGUGUCAGUUUCCUCUCCCUGGUUCUUCCAGCACAGGGAGCAUAGCAGUACCACACAGGUAGACAGCCAACACCAUCCACACCACCACCCCAAACAGCAUGAAGGACAACAGGUUACCGUCCAUGGUCCCACUUGUUGUGGCGCGGGAGGGAAAGAGAGGGAGGUGGAGACAGAAAGAGGCUCCCUUGACCUUCCAAAUGGACAGACAUUGUGCAGACCCUAGUGACCAAAAGGAGGAUGAUAGAAUAAGUCUGUGUGUGUAUGUUCAUGCAUGUAUCUGUGUUUACAUGGGAGACUUAAGUAUUCUGUAAAGAGGACAUAGUUGGCUGCCGAGAAGCAGGUGAGUGUUUAAAUGAUGCCAUUAUCUUAGUGCAAACAGAAAGCACAUUAUUCUGUCAGUACGGCCUCACACCAUUUAGUUCAUAUUCAUGUGUACAUCCACUGUGUAUCCAACACUUUAACUACAUGACAUAGACUGACCAGGUGAAUCCAGGUGAAAGCUAUGAUCCCUUUUUGAUGGCAAAUCCACUUCAAUCAGUGUAAGGGAGGAGACAGGUAAAACAAUAUGUAAGGUGCGUGCAACUCAAUAUUAGGAAGGUGUUGCUAAUGUUUGAUAUAAUCAGUGUAAAUACUAUCUGCUUAUCUGUUCAACCCAGAUUAAAUAUAGAAACACACUAUAGAAAACCUGUCACCCAUGCCACAUGGAAUAUUAGUGCAGCAAAGGUAGGCUACAGAUUAGUAGUUACUUCUAUGUGAGACUAUCAGUCUCUGUCUCCCUCUGUUGGCUACAUGAAGUGGUGAAGGCAAACGAAAAGACAAAACAACCAAUUGCUGAACACCACAGCUCAGUCAGGUGUAAGAACACUGACUACCCAGUAGCAGCCUACUUUGUUUGAAGCCAACCAUCCUGUUUCCUCCCUCAUAUACACAGGUAUGGAGCAUGUUACCCUACCAAGGAGAAGAGGUAACAUUGAGACAUCACUGCUAGAGCAAAGCCAACUGGAUCUCCCACCUGAAAACACUGACCCCUAGUGGUUUGAAUAUUGACUUUGAUCUCAGUCCCUUUCUAUGAACAUUUCAACACAAUGAACAUGUUUUGCCCACAGCUUAUUAGCUGAUACUGCAUAUCAUGUUUCCCAUGUUGAUGAUGUUCAUUAUGCAUUAUGUUUGAACCACGAGAAGAUAUUAAAUCCAGGCUGUGUCCCAUAGGGCAGCGCACUGUUGGCCCAGGGUCAUCUGGGUUUGGCCUGGGUAGGUUGUCAUUGUAAAUAAUCAUUUGUUCUUAACUGACUUGCCUACUUAAAUGAAAAAAAUAUAAUUAAAUUAUGAAAAAGAUUCAAAUAAAUGAAAUGUAAACAAUAAUGAUUGAUAUUAACAUGAUGUAUUCUAUUAAAUCUAAUCAUAAGAUGAUAUUAACGUGAUGUAUUGUAUUAAAUCUAAUCAUGUUGACAUUAUGUAAAUAACUGCCUUGUGUAUUCAACAUCUUGACACACGCAGUAAAAUAAGAGUUUAACAGUUCCACUUUUUCAUCCCUCAUUACCUUAAUUACUAUGACACGCCCCUCACUGUGUUCAUUGGCUGCACAGUUUCGCUUCAUAACCUGGUUCAAGCGUUUACCAAGAAACCCUGAAGAAGGUACUGUGUGCUGAAACGUUGGUUGUCAUGCCCAUUAAACAUUUGGGAGGAUAA